rnacentral:rRNA from 1 species
UACGUAGGUGGCAAGCGUUGUCCGGAUUUAUUGGGUUUAAAGGGUGCGUAGGCGGCCCCAUAAGUCAGUGCUGAAAUCCUCUAGCUCAACUAGAGGGGUGGCAUUGAUACUGCGGGGCUUGAGUGGAGUCGAGGUAGGCGGAAUUGACGGUGUAGCGGUGAAAUGCUUAGAUAUCGUCAAGAACACCGAUAGUGUAGACAGCUUACUAGGCUUCAACUGACGCUGAGGCACGAAAGUGUGGGGAUCAAACAGG